rnacentral:rRNA from 1 species
UACGUAGGGUGCGAGCGUUGUCCGGAAUUAUUGGGCGUAAAGAGCUUGUAGGCGGUCUGUCGCGUCUGCUGUGAAAAUCCGGGGCUCAACCCCGGACUUGCAGUGGGUACGGGCAGACUAGAGUGUGGUAGGGGAGACUGGAAUUCCUGGUGUAGCGGUGAAAUGCGCAGAUAUCAGGAGGAACACCUAUUGCGAAGGCAGCUCGCUGGGACGUUACGGACGCUGAGACGCGAAAGCGUGGGGAGCAAACAGG